UACGUAGGGUGCGAGCGUUAAUCGGAAUUACUGGGCGUAAAGCGUGCGCAGGCGGUUCGUCGUGUCCGAUGUGAAAGCCCCGGGCUCAACCUGGGAAUGGCAUUGGAAACUGGCUUACUAGAGUGCGGUAGAGGGGUGUGGAAUUCCCGGUGUAGCAGUGAAAUGCGUAGAUAUCGGGAGGAACAUCUGUGGCGAAGGCGACACCCUGGACCAGCACUGACACUGAGGCACGAAAGCGUGGGGAGCAAACAGG
rnacentral:rRNA from 1 species